rnacentral:lncRNA from 1 species
GAUCGUCAUCCUUUGAAACUGAUGAAUUCACUUUAAUUGGAGUUACAUCAUUGUUAAAAUUAGGUUCAUUCUCUCCACAUGCAGACAUUGAAUGCUACAUAAAAUAUAAACAGAUAAUCAGCAAUAUAAAUAAGGAUAAAUGUAAAAAAAAAAAAAAAAGCAAACAUAUCAUACGAAGAUGCCAAUGGUUUAUACUUAUGGUAGAUAAAU